UACGCAGAAUACAUUAUCAAUUUUGUACUUCAGGCAAGGGUUGUAUUUUGGUGGUUUAAAAUUGGCUCACUUUAUAAAACUAUAAACAGGCAAUUAAAACAAGCCACAGAUCAAAAUUUGAAAACCAUAUCAAGCAAGGGCCAUAUUCGUGAAGACUUUAAAUUAUAUAUAACGACAAGCCAUUUGUUCAUCCAAGAAAUUAACAACAAUGGGUUGAUUGCAUUCAUGUUAUUUACGACACUUAUUACUUCAUUAUUUAUAACUUCUUAUAACAUCGGCGGAACAUUUGCACCUGGUGACCCUGCUGUCAAUCAAAUGCGGUACACUGUUCAAAUGUGUUGGAUUGUAUUUCAUUUCUCCAGAGUUGUCUUACUUAUUGAACCGUGCCACAGAACAUAUCAACAGUUAUCGGAAACAAAAAUCCUUAUAACUAAGCUUGCAUUACGAACAACGUCCAUUGGGGACAUACAAAUGACGGAUGACAUUUAUGAAUAUCUUCAAGUAAUUCAAAUUGUGGCGCCAAAAUUUACUCCACUU